rnacentral:tRNA from 1 species
GUUGUAGCUCAGUGGUAAAGUGCUUGCCUAGCACGUGUGAGGCACUGGGUUCCAUCCUCAGCACCACA